GAGCGGGGGUCAACUGUCCUCCCUGUACCAAAAGAGGCCAACGUCAUGACAGUAGCGUUCCACAUAAUUUUUAGAAAGUGAAACUUUAGAAAAUACAAAACAAAAUAAAGAAUAAACAAACCGCGACCAACAAUACUAUACAUAAACAAUAUCCCAUAACCCCCAAGUGAAAAACAAGCUACUUAAGUAUUAUCCCAAAUUAGAGACAACGAUUACCAGCUGCCUCUAAUUGGGAAUCAUACCAAUCACCCAAACUUAGAAAAACUAAAUUAGAACCCCACAUAGAAUAUAACAACUAGAAAAAAAACCUGUCACGCCCUGACCUACUCUACCAUAGAAAAUAAAAUCUUUCUAUGGUCAGGACGUGACACAGAGUCAGAGUGCUGGUAAGUCUCAUGUCUACUGAUUUGAGCUAAAAUAUGGUGUAGAUUUUAGUUUCUCAGAAAACUACAGGAAGUGAUGCAACACUUGAGGUUUUGGUCUCCUCCUUUAUCACACAUUUAUUUUCUGUCUGUCUGUCUGCCUUCUAGCCUGUCUGUUUGUCUUCCUGCCUUACUGAGAAACCAACUGAUCGAAUGAACGUUGUAAUUAAUGCUAUAAUUCAUGUUAUCUAUAAUAUAUACAGUACUCUGUAAAGUAUCUCCUCCUGUCUGUGGUCAGGUCUGAUGGUAUCUAUGAUAUAUACAGUACUCUGUAAAGUCUCUCCUCCUGUCUGUGGUCAGGUCUGAUGGUAUCUAUGAUAAAUACAGUACUCUGUAAAGUCUCUCCUCCUGUCUGUGGUCAGGUCUGAUGGUAUCUAUGAUAUAUACAGUACUCUGUAAAGUC
rnacentral:lncRNA from 1 species